GCUCCCAUGGCGUAGUGGUCACUGCGCUCGCCUUGCACGCGGGAGACCCGGGUUCGAAUCCCGACCGGGUCA
rnacentral:tRNA from 1 species